GAUGAACGCUGGCGGCAGGCCUAAUACAUGCAAGUCAAGGGGCCCCGCCUUUGGGCGGGGCACCGGCGGACGGGUGAGCAGCGCGUACACAACGUGCCCCUGACCGGGGGACAGCGGCGGGAAACUGCCGGUAACACCCCAUGGCGCCGCGGGGCGGCAUUGCCCGGCGGCGAAAGUUUCGGCGGUCGGGGAUCGGUGUGCGUCCGAUUAGGUAGUUGGCGGGGUGACGGCCCACCAAGCCUGCGANC
rnacentral:rRNA from 1 species